UGAUGUCAUUAAGCUGUGUUAAAUUCUAAGUUUGGGCUAAACCCCAUAAGUAUCAAAAACCAAGGUGAGUACGAAAAAAAAAACAUAAAAGAAAAACGAAAUGUAGUCAAUGGGUCGAAAGGAGCACUCACCGAAGGAAUAGUACUCAGUUGAAAAAAAAAAGAGAAGAUAAGAAAAAAACUGAGUAACUGAAAAGAAGUAAAAUGAAAAAACACAGUGAAAAGAAUAAUGAUAUUGGCACUGAACCCAAAACCACUUGUUUCCCCUUUUGUUUG
rnacentral:lncRNA from 1 species